rnacentral:sRNA from 1 species
GCUAGGCACAGUGGUGCAUGCCUGUAAUCCCAGUCGCUUGGGAGGCUGAGGCAGGAGAAUCGCAAGUUCAAAGCCCGCCUCAGCAACCAUGAGGCACUAAGCACCUCAAUGAGACCCUGACUCUA